UACGGAGGGAGCUAGCGUUGUUCGGAAUUACUGGGCGUAAAGCGCACGUAGGCGGCUAUUCAAGUCGGGGGUGAAAGCCCGGGGCUCAACCCCGGAACUGCCCUCGAAACUAGAUAGCUAGAAUCUUGGAGAGGCGAGUGGAAUUCCGAGUGUAGAGGUGAAAUUCGUAGAUAUUGGGAAGAACACCGGUGGCGAAGGCGGCGACCUGGUCCUUUACUGACGCUGAGGCGCGAAAGCGUGGGGAGCAAACAGG
rnacentral:rRNA from 1 species